rnacentral:tRNA from 1 species
GGCAAUGUAGCUCAGUGGUAGAGCGGGAAGUUCAUAACUUCUAGGUCAUCGGUUCAAUUCCUUUCAUUGCCU